AGCAGCCGCGGUAAUUCCAGCUCCAAUAGCGUAUAUUAAAGUUGUUGCAGUUAAAAAGCUCGUAGUUGAAUUUCGGGGUUAGUAGGUCGGUCGUGCCACUGGUAUGUACUGGUCUCACUGAUUCCUCCUUCCUGAUGAACCGUAAUGCCAUUAAUUUGGUGAUGCGGGGAGACUGGACUGUUACUUUGAAAAAAUUAGAGUGUUUGAAGCAAGCUAACGCUUGAAUACAUUAGCAUGGAAUAAUGAAAUAGGACGUUCGAUCCUAUUUUGUUGGUUUCUAGGAUUGACGUAAUGAUUAAUAGGGAUAGUUGGGGGCAUUAGUAUUCAAUUGUCAGAGGUGAAAUUCUUGGAUUUAUUGAAGACUAACUACUGCGAAAGCAUUUGCCAAGGAUGUUUUCUAUUAAUCAAGA
rnacentral:sRNA from 1 species